ensembl:lncRNA
AUGUCCGCUCCCUCUGUCCUCCACCUCCCCCUCUCCUCUGCAUUCUGUCCCUCCCACUCCUCUGUGCAUUUGCUCGCUCUCUCUCCCUCUCCCUCCCCUUCCUGCAUUGCUCCUCUCCCUCCCACCCACCUCCUCCCCUUCCCGCUCCUCUCUCCUUCACGCCUCCUCCUUUCCUCUCUCCCUGCCCCCACCUCCUUCUGCUCUGUUCUCUCCUUCGUCACGUUGCACACACACACACACACACCCGUCGCUCCUUCCCUCCCCCACCUCCUCCACUCCAAUCCGCUCUCGCUCCUCUCCACCACCACCAUAAUUACAUACUCCCUCUCCACGCCACUUCUCCUCUCCUCUUUUCCUCCUCAACCCUGCUCUUUCUCCUUCAACAUGUCCUCUUUCUCCUCCUCUCCCCUGUUGCCCCCCGCCAACUCCACUUUUCCCUCUCGUCUCCUGCUCUUCUCCUCCCUUUCAUGCGUUUUUUUCCUCUCCUUGCCGCUCUCUUGUCUGUCCUGCUACGCCCCCUCUCUCCCCACUCAUUCAUCAUGCUCACUCCUCCUCCCCCUGCUCCUAUUCCUCUCUCCCUUCCCCCCAAGCUCCCCUCUGCUCCUGUUCCCCCCUCUGCUUCUCCAAUCCUCUCCCUCCUCCUUCUCAUCUCCCACUUCUCCACCCUCUUCUCUCCUCCAACUCACUCCUGACGUUCCAAUCAUCUCCUCCCACUUCUACCCCCCCCCCCCUUCAUAUUCUAUUAUAUCUCCUUCCUGUCUCCCGGUGGCCCCCCUCUCUCCUACCUCCUCCCUCCUGCUCUCCUUCCUCUUUCACCUACCUCCCACCAUUCGCUCAUCUUCCUCUCUUCUCCACAGGAGGCAAGUCAAAGAAGGGCCCGGCAGCAGUCUAUGGAAAAGGCUGGCCUGGAGGUGUGUGGGAGGAAAGAGGAGGAGGAGGAGUUGGUGGUGGAGGAGGAGGAGCAGGAAGAAGAAGAAGAAGGGCAGGAGCUGUGGGGAUGGUGGCAGGACCAGGAGGAAGAGGAAGAGGAAGAGGGGGGAAGGAGGCCAGGGAGAUGUACCUCAUCCAGUUCCCCGGGGAUGA